CUUACCCUUUCUCCAAAACCCUAACCUUUCCCAGCUUCAGACAAAAGGAAAUGAAAGAAAGAAAAAAAAAAAGAAGAAGAAGAAAGAAAGGAAAGGGGGAGGAAGAAAGGGAGACCUGAGAAAGAAGGAAAGGGGGAGAAAGAGAGGGAGAUCCGAGGGUGAGAGCGCGCCGGUGGAAGGGCGCCGGAGCUGCUAGGCCACGCCGUCGGGUCGCCUUGGCUGCCGUUGGGAGUAGAGACGCAUGCAGAGGAGAAGCCACCACUGCCUCACUUUCGUCGUCAUCCUCGCCAGGAAGCAUGUCGCCGCUGCUGUCCGUCCGUCCAGCCCGAGUUGUCGCCGUCGUUGCUGGUCUGCCUUGGAGCCGCCGUCGUCACUAUUGAAGCCGAGGAGAGAGAGACGCGGUGAGAGGAGGGUCACACCCAGUGUCGUUGCCGCCUUUCUUCCGCCAUCACCGAAGCUACUGGGCUCGCCGUCGAUGCACCCAUGUUGCUGCUGUGUCGCCGGAGCUUCACGCCGCUGUACUGGCCGCCGGAGAACGCAGAUGAGGCCUCUGUCUCCUUGGGUUUUGAUUGUUGCUAAUUAUUCGAUUGUACGCCGUUUUCGGAAUCAGGCCAGAUUUACCGAACAGAUGCACAGGUCCCUGAUUCUCUUCUUUGUUGCCCCAUCGUUCUAUUUUCUAUAGCUGCAAGUCGAGUUCCAGUAAUUGCAUGGUUAAAAUAGAAGCCGUUUCUGUUGUUGUGGAAGUGAACGGAGUGGCAGAUGCAGCUGCCGUUGAGUGCGAGUCGAGAGAAAAAGGUUUCUUGGACGUAUUUGAUUUAUGAAUUUUGAUUAUUCGAGGAACCAGAUGAAGAAGCAUUAAGAAGAGUUAUACUAUGUUUGGUUUAUAUGUUGUUGUAUUAAUUAGAUUAUUUUCUUCCCUCAUCUUUGUUAUUACAAGUUUGUAAGAGGGAUAGGAAUUGUGUGUUUUAUAUAUAUAUUAUAUUGAGUUAUUAUGUAAUGAGUCUUGUAUAAGAAUCUAUGCCUACUUGUAAUUUUCUUAAAAUGAAGUAUUUAUCUCCGGUUUUUCAAA